rnacentral:lncRNA from 1 species
CUGCGUCUCCAGCUGGUGCACCUUUUCGAUGAACACCGCGAAGCGGUCGUUGAGGCCCUGCAGCUGCUCCUUCUCGUUAGUGCGGAUGAUCUUGUACUCGUUGGUGCGCGCCGCUGCUUGGCUCAGGUCCAGCCCGUCGGAGGCCGGCAGGCGGCGGUAGGCCAGGCCCAGGCCGAGAGACGAGGCCGAGGAGCAAGCGGCCGUGGAGGCCACAUUGCUGCGGGACAGCGACUGCGAGCGAAAGCUGCCGGAGCCUCCCGGCCCGGACAGGCGCGCAGACAGGCGCGAGCCAUCCCCGAACACCUUGCGAAUUCAUCCUACAAAUAAAAUGAUGACUUCCUGGAGUGACCGCUUACAGAACGCAGCAGAUGUGCCUGCUAACAUGGAUAAGCAUGCCCUGAAAAAGUACCGUCGAGAAGCCUAUCACCGGGUGUUUGUGAACCGAAGUUUAGCCAUGGAAAAAAUAAAGUGUUUUGGGUUUGACAUGGAUUAUACCCUGGCUGGUAAGUGAUGAUUUUUGAAUUCUUAAGAACUGCUGAUCUUGAUACAACAUAGCGGGUUCGCAGGCAGUUCAGUAGUCACUUGUUUCUGUAAUCAUUUAUUGGCUGUGAGAAGCUUUUGUC